rnacentral:rRNA from 1 species
UCGAGAAUCUUCGGCAAUGGGCGAAAGCCUGACCGAGCGACGCCGCGUGCGGGAUGAAGGCCUUCGGGUUGUAAACCGCUGUCGUAGAGGAGGAAAUGCAGGUGGGUACUCCCAUCUGUUUGACUGAUUCUAGGAGGAAGGACCGGCUAAUCUCGUGCCAGCAGCCGCGGUAAUACGAGAGGUCCAAACGUUAUUCGGAAUUACUGGGCUUACAGAGUUCGUAGGCGGCUCAGAAAGUGGGGUGUGAAAUCCCUCGGCUCAACCGAGGAAUUGCGCUCCAAACUACUGAGCUAGAGGGAGAUAGAGGUGAGCGGAACUGAUGGUGGAGCGGUGAAAUGCGUUGAUAUCAUCAGGAACACCGGAGGCGAAGGCGGCUCACUGGGUCUCUUCUGACGCUGAGGAACGAAAGCUAGGGGAGCAAACGG